rnacentral:rRNA from 1 species
AUUGAACGCUGGCGGCAGGCCUAACACAUGCAAGUCGAGCGGAUGAGGGAAGCUUGCUUCCCGAUUUAGCGGCGGACGGGUGAGUAAUGCCUAGGAAUCUGCCUAUUAGUGGGGGAUAACGAUCCGAAAGGAACGCUAAUACCGCAUACGUCCUACGGGAGAAAGUGGGGGAUCUUCGGACCUCACGCUAAUAGAUGAGCCUAGGUCGGAUUAGGUAGUUGGUGAGGUAACGGCUCACCAAGGCGACGAGCCGUAGCUGGUCUGAGAGGAUGAUCAGCCACACUGGAACUGCGACACGGUCCAGACGCCUACGGGAGGCAGCAGUGGUGAAUAUUGGACAAUGGGUGAAAGCCUGAUCCAGCCAUGCCGCGUGUGUGAAGAAGGUCUUCGGAUUGUAAAGCACUUUAAGUUGGGAGGAAGGGUUGUAAGCUAAUAUCUUGCAGCUUUGACGUUACCAACAGAAUAAGCACCGGCUAACUCUGUGCCAGCCGCCGCGGUAACAC